AGAGUCAGUACAUUCCAUUUCCCUCGUGAUGAAGAUGCAUGGAGAUAAUGGAUAAGAGCAGUUCACCGUGAUAAUUUCAUCCCUUCAGAUCACUCUGUGAUUUGUGAGCUGCAUUUCCAUGCACACGAAAUAGAAAGAAGUACAUCGUCAUAUGAUGCUAAGACUGGAAGAUUAAUUACACGCCUCUUGAUCGUCCACGUUUAAGGAAAGGUGCAAUACCAGCACUAUUGCCAGCAUGUCCUGAUUAUUUAUCU